rnacentral:rRNA from 1 species
UACAGAGGGGGCGAGCGUUGUUCGGAAUUACUGGGCGUAAAGGGCGCGUAGGUGGCGGCAUAAGGCCGUUGUGAAAGUCAGGGGCUCAACCCUUGAAUGCCGGCGGAUACUGUCGGGCUAGAGUCCGGAAGAGGCGAGUGGAAUUCCCGGUGUAGCGGUGAAAUGCGCAGAUAUCGGGAGGAACACCUAUGGCGAAGGCAGCUCGCUGGGACGGUACUGACGCUGAGACGCGAAAGCGUGGGGAGCAAACAGG